rnacentral:rRNA from 1 species
GACGAACCGUGCGAACGUUAUUCGGAAUCACUGGGCUUAAAGCGCGUGUAGGCGGAUGGGCACGUCGGUAGUUGAAAGCCCCCGGCUCAACCGGGGAAGUGGUGCCGAAACGACCCGUCUGGAGGGACGUAGGGGGACCUGGAACUUCCGGUGGAGCGGUGAAAUGCGUUGAGAUCGGUAGGAACGCCCGUGGCGAAAGCGGUGUUCUGGGCCUGUACUGACGCUGACGCGCGAAAGCGUGGGGAGCGAACAGG